AAAAAGACGGUAAGGCCCUUCGGGGUACACGAGUGGCGAACGGGUGAGUAACACGUGGGUGAUCUGCCCUGCACUUCGGGAUAAGCCCGGGAAACUGGGUCUAAUACCGGAUAGUACUGCGCGGUGCAUGCCGUGUGGUGGAAAGAUUUAUCGGUGCAGGAUGGGCCCGCGGCCUAUCAGCUUGUUGGUGGGGUAAUGGCCUACCAAGGCGACGACGGGUAGCCGGCCUGAGAGGGCGACCGGCCACACUGGGACUGAGACACGGCCCAGACUCCUACGGGAGGCAGCAGUGGGGAAUAUUGCACAAUGGGCGCAAGCCUGAUGCAGCGACGCCGCGUGAGGGAUGACGGCCUUCGGGUUGUAAACCUCUUUCAGCAGGGACGAAGCGCAAGUGACGGUACCUGCAGAAGAAGCACCGGCCAACUACGUGCCAGCAGCCGCGGUAAUACGUAGGGUGCAAGCGUUGUCCGGAAUUACUGGGCGUAAAGAGCUCGUAGGCGGUUUGUCGCGUCGUCUGUGAAAACCAGCAGCUCAACUGUUGGCUUGCAGGCGAUACGGGCAGACUUGAGUAUUUCAGGGGAGACUGGAAUUCCUGGUGUAGCGGUGAAAUGCGCAGAUAUCAGGAGGAACACCGGUGGCGAAGGCGGGUCUCUGGGAAAUAACUGACGCUGAGGAGCGAAAGCGUGGGUAGCGAACAGGAUUAGAUACCCUGGUAGUCCACGCCGUAAACGGUGGGCGCUAGGUGUGGGUUUCCUUCCACGGGAUCCGUGCCGUAGCUAACGCAUUAAGCGCCCCGCCUGGGGAGUACGGCCGCAAGGCU
rnacentral:rRNA from 1 species